GACGAACGCUGGCGGCGUGCUUAACACAUGCAAGUCGAACGGAAAGGCCCUGCUUUUGUGGGGUGCUCGAGUGGCGAACGGGUGAGUAACAAGUGAGUAACCUGCCCUUGACUUUGGGAUAACUUCAGGAAACUGGGGCUAAUACCGGAUAGGAGCUCCUGCUGCAUGGUGGGGGUUGGAAAGUUUCGGCGGUUGGGGAUGGACUCGCGGCUUAUCAGCUUGUUGGUGGGGUAGUGGCGUACCAAGGCUUUGACGGGUAGGCGGCCUGAGAGGGUGACCGGCCACAUUGGGACUGAGAUACGGCCCAGACUCCUACGGGAGGCAGCAGUGGGGAAUAUUGCACAAUGGGCGGAAGCCUGAUGCAGCAACGCCGCGUGCGGGAUGACGGCCUUCGGGUUGUAAACCGCUUUCGCCUGUGACGAAGCGUGAGUGACGGUAAUGGGUAAAGAAGCACCGGCUAACUACGUG
rnacentral:rRNA from 1 species